rnacentral:rRNA from 1 species
UACGUAGGUGGCAAGCGUUGUCCGGAUUUACUGGGCGUAAAGGGAGCGUAGGCGGACUUUUAAGUGAGAUGUGAAAUACCCGGGCUCAACUUGGGUGCUGCAUUUCAAACUGGAAGUCUAGAGUGCAGGAGAGGAGAGUGGAAUUCCUAGUGUAGCGGUGAAAUGCGUAGAGAUUAGGAAGAACACCAGUGGCGAAGGCGACUCUCUGGACUGUAACUGACGCUGAGGCUCGAAAGCGUGGGGAGCAAACAGG